rnacentral:rRNA from 1 species
UGGGGAAUUUUGGACAAUGGGCGCAAGCCUGAUCCAGCAAUGCCGCGUGCAGGAUGAAGGCCUUCGGGUUGUAAACUGCUUUUGUACAGAACGAAAAGUCUUGGGUUAAUACCCUGGGACCAUGACGGUACUGUAAGAAUAAGCACCGGCUAACUACGUGCCAGCAGCCGCGGUAAUACGUAGGGUGCAAGCGUUAAUCGGAAUUACUGGGCGUAAAGCGUGCGCAGGCGGUUAUGUAAGACAGAGGUGAAAUCCCCGGGCUCAACCUGGGAACGGCCUUUGUGACUGCAUAGCUAGAGUACGGUAGAGGAGGAUGGAAUUCCGCGUGUAGCAGUGAAAUGCGUAGAUAUGCGGAGGAACACCGAUGGCGAAGGCAAUCCCCUGGACCUGUACUGACGCUCAUGCACGAAAGCGUGGGGAGCAAACAGG